GAGGAUGUGGUGUAACGGUAGCACGCCUGUUUUGGGAGCAGGAGGAGCAGUUCGACUCUGACAUCUUCG
rnacentral:tRNA from 1 species